CGGUGAACUCCGCUUGCGGGGGGAUCAGUGGCGAACGGGUGAGUAACACGUGGGCAACCUGCCCCUGGCUCUGGGAUAACUCCAAGAAAUUGGGGCUAAUACCGGAUAUGACCGCUGACCGCAUGGUCUGGUGGUGGAAAGAUUUAUCGGCUGGGGAUGGGCCCGCGGCCUAUCAGCUUGUUGGUGGGGUAGUGGCCUACCAAGGCGACGACGGGUAGCCGGCCUGAGAGGGUGACCGGCCACACUGGGACUGAGACACGGCCCAGACUCCUACGGGAGGCAGCAGUGGGGAAUAUUGCGCAAUGGGCGAAAGCCUGACGCAGCGACCCCGCGUGGGGGAUGACGGCCUUCGGGUUGUAAACCUCUUUCAGCAGGGACGAAGCGCAUGUGACGGUACCUGCAGAAGAAGCACCGGCCAACUACGUGCCAGCAGCC
rnacentral:rRNA from 1 species